rnacentral:rRNA from 1 species
CAGUAGCCGCGGUAAUACUGAGGGUGCGAGCGUUAAUCGGAUUUACUGGGCGUAAAGCGUGCGUAGGCGGCUUCUUAAGUCGGAUGUGAAAUCCCUGAGCUUAACUUAGGAAUUGCAUUCGAUACUGGGAAGCUAGAGUAUGGGAGAGGAUGGUAGAAUUCCAGGUGUAGCGGUGAAAUGCGUAGAGAUCUGGAGGAAUACCGAUGGCGAAGGCAGCCAUCUGGCCUAAUACUGACGCUGAGGUACGAAAGCAUGGGGAGCAAACAGGAUUAGAUACCCCUGUAGUCCCUGUCCCUUAUAC